rnacentral:rRNA from 1 species
CUUGCGCUCUUGGAGCGGCCGAUGUCUGAUUAGCUAGUUGGUGAGGUAAUGGCUUACCAAGGCGACGAUCAGUAGCUGGUCUGAGAGGACGACCAGCCACACUGGGACUGAGACACGGCCCAGACUCCUACGGGAGGCAGCAGUGGGGAAUUUUGGACAAUGGGGGAAACCCUGAUCCAGCCAUGCCGCGUGAGUGAAGAAGGCCUUCGGGUUGUAAAGCUCUUUCAGCCGGAACGAAACGGUCACGGCUAAUAUCCGUGACUACUGACGGUACCGGAAGAAGAAGCACCGGCUAACUACGUGCCAGCAGCCGCGGUAAUACGUAGGGUGCGAGCGUUAAUCGGAAUUACUGGGCGUAAAGCGUGCGCAGGCGGUUUUGUAAGUCAGAUGUGAAAGCCCC